rnacentral:tRNA from 1 species
CUUGGAGUACCAGAGUGGUUCAAUGGCUAGGACUGCAAAUCCUCAGAUUCGUGGGUUCAAAUCCCACCUCCAAGU